GGGAGCGGCGCCCGGUAAUUCACACGUGAUUUUAUCUCCCCGUUUGUCGUGUCAGGAGUCGCCAUAGGCCACCUUUAAAGGGUAGGCCUCUGGUAGCUUUAAAAGAUAGGCAUUGUGUGUAUAGCUUCUCCCAAGAAAUAUGGGAGCGCUUAUUGUCAAGGCUGAGUGUGAAGAGGCGAUUAUAAUUCUGGACUGUAACUUACGUAUUUACUUGUCAUUAGAAAUUACUGUGUUUACAAAGCAUUAACCGCGCGUAGGUGAUUUGUCUCUAGUUUAAAAGCUUGCAGUGUCGUCAUCAUCUGCUUCAUCAUUACCUUUCCUCCCCCGAAAGGCUUGGUUUUCAUUCACUGUGAAACGUAUAGACAUUGUUUUUAUGAUGUGUGGCUAAAAUUAUUGAAGCAAACUGAUACAUUCUGGAUGUCAAAUAAGAGAAAAUACGAGGAAAGGUGUUGCAACACUUGGUGAGUAGCGGGAGAUAUUUUUAGCUGAAAAAUACAAACUGCUUUUUCAAAAUGGCUUAGAUAGCUGUGUUCAGCAUAACCCUGAAUUUUUCAUUUAUUUUUAUUUGCCCUGUUGAAAAGGACUAAAUCAGUUUUAUGUAAUGGAUAGUUUAUAUUUUCGGGCUUAUUGCCGUCUCACUUUGUCCUGUGCAAUUUGCUUGUGUAUGGGUUUGAGUCACAUUUGUGAAAAGCAGCCAAUUGAAGUUCAGUCUGGGAAUACAGUGACUGAAAUAGUUCUAGCUAUGAGGUUGGUUUGGGUUGGGAUUUUGUUGUUGUAGUUCUUUUAAGAGGUUUUGGUGAAUUAGACCUAAAUGAAACAUCUUUAAGAUGUCAUUAGUCAUGACAAAAGGCUCUGUGGAUUAAGAAUCCAAUUUUUGUGUUUGUGGUGGGUUGGAGUUUUGGUGGUCUUUUUAGUUUUAGUAUUGGGUACAAGUGAAAAUCAAUCAUAACAAUGCAAAGUUCUUAAAGUACUGAAAAUUAAUGUAAAACUAUUAAUUUAAUGUACUUAAAAGUUGCAAAAGUAGUUAUUUUGAAUUGUGCGAUCAAGUGGUAAUAUAUUGUCUAUGACCUCAUGCAUACCUUUUGAAGUGGACUGAAUAUUAAAUUGCUAUUCUUACUUAAAUGUCAUAAUAGAAGGUAUUUAAAUUGUACAUCUUAGCAAUUAUAUACAUUGUCAAAGGUUGUAAGGUGGGCAUUGGUGUUAAUAUUGUACAUGAUACUUUAUAGUAGCUUUUGGGAGUGAUAUCGAAUUGUCAGCCAAAAAUGCUUACUUACGGUAAUUUUGGGGUAAUUUCUUUCAGAAAAUACUCUUUUGUUAGAUUUCACAUAGGGUAUAAACUGUUAAAAAUACACUGUAAUUAAAUAGUCAAGAAUUACCUCUCUAUUACAUACAGAAAUUUUCCUGAGUGGUCCAUUCCUGUGUCAUCUGGGGCAGUCUCAAAAGUAUUGGAAACAUUUUGCUUGAGGAUUUCUUCUCUCAUGGGUACAGAAUAAUGUGUCCCUCUAACGAUCUAAAGUGACAUAAAAAAAUCCUAGUGCAUUAAACUUGCCUUAACAAAUGCCUAGAAGGUUAAAAUAUUGCAAUUUAGGCAUGAAAUGUGAUUGUUGAUUUCUUCGUGGCCACCUUUGCAAAAAAUAACCUUGGCUUGUUUCUGUGCCUCCCAACCAUUUUAUUUUGUUAGAGAUUUAUGGACAAGUCCAACUGAGUUUAAUGCAAUUGAUUUCAGUAUUAUACUUUUUGUGAAAACGCCUCAGAGCUGGUACUAGUUGUCCCCCCACUUUGUGAGGGUGGAAACAAAUGCACAGGGAACAUCAUUCUUAAGCGAUUUCCCAUGGCCUAAUAUUUUUCUAAGCAUAUCACAUUGCAUAGCCAACACAAGGGAAAGUGCAUCACCACUGCCCUCGCUUUUCUAUUUAUUACAAAGACUGCUUGAAAAUUUGACAGCCAUGGUGCAGAUGCAGGUGGUCGCAGCACAUUUUUUCCAUGUAAUGAAAAGCAUGAAUCUUCAGAUUUUUCAGUGAUGGUUCUUUAACAUCAGAGAAUGUGGUGUCUCAUCUUUCUUUUAAAGUCCAGGAAGCAAAUAGAGGGAAUGCUCCACGCUCUUCCCCAGCUCCAUUGCUCUUCUCUGGACACACUCCAGCCCCACAGUGCCCUUCCUGAAUUGAGGGGCCCAGAACUGGGCACAGGACUUGAGGUGUGGCCUCACCAGUACAGGGAGAGCUGACUUCUCUUGGUACUUGUCCUGCAACUCAGUGGUGUUCAGACAGGGUCAGGGACUUCUGGUUUGCUCCAAGGAAGCUCCAGGUUAAAAUUAAAAAAUUGUCUGUUGUUGUUGCAUCAAAAUGUAAUAUUCUAAUAUAACUGUUUUACUGCAAUAAAUUAUGUUUUACAAUAAAGGUUUCUUACCACUG